GUCCCUGUAGUGCAAUGGAUAGCACGUUGGACUUCUAAUCCAGAGGUCGGGGGUUCGGAUCCCACCUGGGAUG
rnacentral:tRNA from 1 species